rnacentral:rRNA from 1 species
GGUUAAGCGACUAAGCGUACACGGUGGAUGCCCUGGCAGUCAGAGGCGAUGAAGGACGUGCUAAUCUGCGAUAAGCGCCGGUAAGGUGAUAUGAACCGUUAUAACCGGCGAUUUCCGAAUGGGGAAACCCAGUGUGACUCGUCACACUAUCAUUAACUGAAUCCAUAGGUUAAUGAGGCGAACCGGGGGAACUGAAACAUCUAAGUACCCCGAGGAAAAGAAAUCAACCGAGAUUCCCCCAGUAGCGGCGAGCGAACGGGGAGGAGCCCAGAGCCUGAAUCAGCAUGUGUGUUAGUGGAAGCGUCUGGAAAGGCGCGCGAUACAGGGUGACAGCCCCGUACACAAAAGCGCAUGUGUUGUGAGCUCGAUGAGUAGGGCGGGACACGUGGUAUCCUGUCUGAAUAUGGGGGGACCAUCCUCCAAGGCUAAAUACUCCUGACUGACCGAUAGUGAACCAGUACCGUGAGGGAAAGGCGAAAAGAACCCCGGCGAGGGGAGUGAAAAAGAACCUGAAACCGUGUACGUACAAGCAGUGGGAGCCCCACCACUAAGCCAGUGGUGAACUCCACAUACGCAUCCUUUGCUGAAGGUGCGGUUAACGGAGCGCAAGCGACGUUCAACCUCAAAAGAAGCAGAGGGGGCUUAGUGGUGGGGUGACUGCGUACCUUUUGUAUAAUGGGUCAGCGACUUAUAUUCUGUAGCAAGGUUAACCGCAUAGGGGAGCCGGAGGGAAACCGAGUCUUAAUUGGGCGUUAAGUUGCAGGGUAUAGACCCGAAACCCGGUGAUCUAGCCAUGGGCAGGUUGAAGGUUGGGUAACACUAACUGGAGGACCGAACCGACUAAUGUUGAAAAAUUAGCGGAUGACCUGUGGCUGGGGGUGAAAGGCCAAUCAAACCGGGAGAUAGCUGGUUCUCCCCGAAAGCUAUUUAGGUAGCGCCUCGUGAAUUCAUCUCCGGGGGUAGAGCACUGUUUCGGCUAGGGGGCCAUCCCGGCUUACCAACCCGAUGCAAACUGCGAAUACCGGAGAAUGUUAUCACGGGAGACACACGGCGGGUGCUAACGUCCGUCGUGAAGAGGGAAACAACCCAGACCGCCAGCUAAGGUCCCAAAGUCAUGGUUAAGUGGGAAACGAUGUGGGAAGGCCCAGACAGCCAGGAUGUUGGCUUAGAAGCAGCCAUCAUUUAAAGAAAGCGUAAUAGCUCACUGGUCGAGUCGGCCUGCGCGGAAGAUGUAACGGGGCUAAACCAUGCACCGAAGCUGCGGCAGCGACGCUGAUGCGUUGUUGGGUAGGGGAGCGUUCUGUAAGCCUGUGAAGGUGGCCUGUGAGGGUUGCUGGAGGUAUCAGAAGUGCGAAUGCUGACAUAAGUAACGAUAAAGCGGGUGAAAAGCCCGCUCGCCGGAAGACCAAGGGUUCCUGUCCAACGUUAAUCGGGGCAGGGUGAGUCGACCCCUAAGGCGAGGCCGAAAGGCGUAGUCGAUGGGAAACGGGUUAAUAUUCCCGUACUUGGUGUUACUGCGAAGGGGGGACGGAGAAGGCUAUGUUGGCCGGGCGACGGUUGUCCCGGUUUAAGCGUGUAGGUGUGUGUUCCAGGUAAAUCCGGUUCACUUUAACACUGAGGCGUGAUGACGAGGCACUACGGUGCUGAAGCAACAAAUGCCCUGCUUCCAGGAAAAGCCUCUAAGCAUCAGGUAACAUCAAAUCGUACCCCAAACCGACACAGGUGGUCAGGUAGAGAAUACCAAGGCGCUUGAGAGAACUCGGGUGAAGGAACUAGGCAAAAUGGUGCCGUAACUUCGGGAGAAGGCACGCUGACACGUAGGUGAAGUGAUUUACUCAUGGAGCUGAAGUCAGUCGAAGAUACCAGCUGGCUGCAACUGUUUAUUAAAAACACAGCACUGUGCAAACACGAAAGUGGACGUAUACGGUGUGACGCCUGCCCGGUGCCGGAAGGUUAAUUGAUGGGGUCAGCGCAAGCGAAGCUCCUGAUCGAAGCCCCGGUAAACGGCGGCCGUAACUAUAACGGUCCUAAGGUAGCGAAAUUCCUUGUCGGGUAAGUUCCGACCUGCACGAAUGGCGUAAUGAUGGCCAGGCUGUCUCCACCCGAGACUCAGUGAAAUUGAACUCGCUGUGAAGAUGCAGUGUACCCGCGGCAAGACGGAAAGACCCCGUGAACCUUUACUAUAGCUUGACACUGAACAUUGAGCCUUGAUGUGUAGGAUAGGUGGGAGGCUUUGAAGUGUGGACGCCAGUCUGCAUGGAGCCGACCUUGAAAUACCACCCUUUAAUGUUUGAUGUUCUAACGUGGACCCGUAAUCCGGGUUGCGGACAGUGUCUGGUGGGUAGUUUGACUGGGGCGGUCUCCUCCUAAAGAGUAACGGAGGAGCACGAAGGUUGGCUAAUCCUGGUCGGACAUCAGGAGGUUAGUGCAAUGGCAUAAGCCAGCUUGACUGCGAGCGUGACGGCGCGAGCAGGUGCGAAAGCAGGUCAUAGUGAUCCGGUGGUUCUGAAUGGAAGGGCCAUCGCUCAACGGAUAAAAGGUACUCCGGGGAUAACAGGCUGAUACCGCCCAAGAGUUCAUAUCGACGGCGGUGUUUGGCACCUCGAUGUCGGCUCAUCACAUCCUGGGGCUGAAGUAGGUCCCAAGGGUAUGGCUGUUCGCCAUUUAAAGUGGUACGCGAGCUGGGUUUAGAACGUCGUGAGACAGUUCGGUCCCUAUCUGCCGUGGGCGCUGGAGAACUGAGGGGGGCUGCUCCUAGUACGAGAGGACCGGAGUGGACGCAUCACUGGUGUUCGGGUUGUCAUGCCAAUGGCACUGCCCGGUAGCUAAAUGCGGAAGAGAUAAGUGCUGAAAGCAUCUAAGCACGAAACUUGCCCCGAGAUGAGUUCUCCCUGAGACUUUAGGUCUCCUGAAGGAACGUUGAAGACGACGACGUUGAUAGGCCGGGUGUGUAAGCGCAGCGAUGCGUUGAGCUAACCGGUACUAAUGAACCGUGAGGCUUAACCUU